GACGAACGCUGGCGGCGUGCUUAACACAUGCAAGUCGAACGGAACGGCCCUGCUUUUGUGCGCUGCUCGAGUGGCGAACGGGUAAGUAACACGUGAGUACCCUGCCCUUGACUUUGGGAUAUCUUCAUGAAACUUGGGCUAUUCCCGGAUAGGAUCUCCUGCUGCUUGGUGGGGGUUGGAAAGUUUCGGCGGUUGGGGAUGGACUCGCGGCUUAUCAGCUUGUUGGUGGGGUAGUGGAUUACCAAGGCUUGGACGGGUAGCAGGCCUGGGAGGGGAACCGGACAAAUUAGAAUGGAGAUACGGCCCGGACUAGAACGGGAGGCAGGGGAGGGGAAGGGUGCAUAGGGGGAGGAAGCAUAGUGCAGUAACGCAGCGUGGGGGAUGAGGGGAUGGGGGUUGUAAAGCGAAGUCGCCUGUGACGAAACGUGAGUGACGGUAAUGGGUAAAGAAGCACCGGCUAACUACGUG
rnacentral:rRNA from 1 species